rnacentral:lncRNA from 13 species
GUUAAUUAUUUUACCGCAUUCAACAGCAGUUCCUAUCAGAGAGAUAGUAACAUUCACCCUGGAGGGCACUCGCAUGCUGGGCUUGGUGCAAUACACACACCAGGGAUUAUUAUUCUUCAUAAAAUGCGCAAAUUAAUCAUUAGAUGAGGUUAUAACCGACCCCCGAUUUGGAAACGAGUUGUCUCCAAUUCCUUGGCAACGCGUUAUGUCGUCUAGUCUACUUUUUUUUAAACAACAGAAGCGGACCUAAAGCAAGGAUUCAGUCUAAUCAGUAACAUGACAUAAGGAACGUCGUUUGGAAUCCAUAACCUUGUUGGCUUUAGAAUGGGAAUAUUAUUGGUCAAAAAAAGACAGAACAGAUCAACAGCUUUUAGUGUGAACAUUUUAACGCUUUCUAGUCCUCUAUGUGGAUAGAUUUUUUUCAGCAUUCCCUCAGACGAUGGAUUUUUUCCAUUGCAGCUCAGUAGAGGGUGUGAGAUCUUUCUAAGAGCACCGGGCUAGAACGAGCACAGUCUCUGUGUAACCUCUUUGUGAUUAAAAUCCACCAAAGGAAAGCACUGGAAACAAAAGCAUGGAAGACACCGAAAGGUGUGAGGAAUGCGGUUUUUUUUUUGCAGUGGCAGUGUUAUCAGCACUACAUCUCGAGCGUCGGGUGUGAAUUCAGCACCGAGGGGGAAAGAACAGCACCCACUGCUACCGCAGCACGACGAGAAAAUCACGGAUUUAUAAAAUUUGCAAGGUAAGCCUUGUGCCCUGAGGAGGCGUGAUGAGAAUCUCUCCCUAACAGCAGAACGGAGCGUCACCUCGUCUUCCCUGUCGAUCCCCCGUCUCCCCAUGACUUACACUCUAACUGUGAGAAGACUGGAAGAUCUCAGCAUCCCUGACGAGUGAAGCAAGCAGGGCCCACAGACGUGAAGCAGCUAGCUGUUUUUGACAAGUUUGAACCCUGCUAGCUACAGCAGGAGAGGUUUGGUUGUACAGUAUGGAGCGUGGACCUCGGCUUCAGUGUUUAUUCAGAUACUCAGAACAUGUCCCUGAGCAGAUUGUACAUGAUAAUAACUAGUGUGUGUGUGUGUGNNNNNNNNNNUAUGGUUACAGUAAGAGUAAUCUGAUCAUAACGUUACUGAUUUAGUAUAUGGUUACAGUAAGAGUAAUCUGAUCAUAACAUUACUGAUUUAGUAUAUGGUUACAGUAAGAGAAAUCUGAUCAUAACAUUACUGAUUUAGUAUAUGGUUACAGUAAGAGUAAUCUGAUCAUAACGUUACUGAUUUAGUAUAUGAUUAGAGUAAGUGUAAUCUGAUCAUAACAUUACUGAUUUAGUUAUAUGGUUACAGUAAGAGUAAUCUGAUCAUAACAUUACUGAUUUAGUAUAUGGUUACAGUAAGAGUAAUCUGAUCAUAACAUUACUGAUUUAGUAUAUGGUUACAGUAAGUGUAAUCCAAUCUUAGUCNNNNNNNNNNNNNNNNNNNNNNNNNNNNNNNNNNNNNNNNNNNNNNNNNNNNNNNNNNNNNNNNNUGUGUGUGUGUGUGUGUGUGUGUGUGUGUGUGUGUACGUGACUGUCUGUGUUGGUUUUUCUAUCCUUGUGGGUACCUAGAAUCCCCAAAAGUACCCAAUUAGGGUAAAUGGUUAGGGUUAUGGUAAGGGUUAGGUCCCCACAAGGAAAGAAGAACAUAAAAUGUGUAGGUUGGUUCUUCUAUCGUGUGUUUGUGUGUGUGUUUCUGAAUCUGUGACUUUGAACACAUCAUUGGGGAUCAGCAAUUCAACUUAGCCAUUGAGAGACCGGCGUUCAGGGCCCAACACUUUCAGUACAAGGCCAUGAGUGCUUCCUUCCUUUUCUAGUUCCCUCCAGGACUCCUGCAAUCUCUCCAAGUGACUGCCAGAUGAAUAGUCCCUUCUCUAUAACCUUUGCAAAUCUCUCCUCACAUUCCCUGCAGCUCACUACUUAUCUACUGGCCCUCUUCCUUCACUGUUGUGAUCUAUUGCCCCUCAGCUGAGUAUUUAGAGGUCCUCCUCUCCUUGUACUUAAACUGUCUGUCCUAAGCUCCCUGUUAACCAAUAGAAACACAGGGGUUUGAUACCUACAAGAGCGCAUCAAGAACACCUAUUUUUCCGCAUUCCCUGAGUGAUAUGUAAGGGAGUGAUACUUGUCAUGUACAGUGCCUUCAGAAAGUAGUCACAUCAGUGGAGACGGCUGAGGGGAGAACGGCUCAUGAUAAUGUCUGGAAUGGAGUAAAUGGAAUGGCAUCAAACACAUGGAACCCACGUGUUUGAUGUAUUUGAUACCAGUCAACCUAUUUCGCUCCAGCAGUUACCACGAGCCCAUUCUUGUGUUACAAAGUGGGAUUAAAAUGGAUAUAAUUGUACUUUUUUGUUAAUGAUUACAAAAUAUUCUAAGGUCAAAGUGGAAGAAAAAUUCAUGUUAAACAUUAUUUCUGCACACGGAGUCCAUUUUUACUCCUGCAUUUAUUUAGGCUUGCCAUAACAAAAGGGUUGAAUACUUACUGACUCAAGACAAUUCAGCUUUUCAUUUUUAAUUAAUUUGCAAACAUUUUUUAAAACAUAAUUCCACUUUGACAUUAUGGGGAAUUGAGUGUAUUAUGACCAGUGACAAAAAUAUAUUUGCAUUUAAUCAAUUUUAAAU